AUGGGCUAUAUUAUCCUAUUUUGCAAAUCAAAAAAGUUUAAGUUUUGGUUCAAAAAAGGAAAAGAAAUUCACAAACAAGUUUACGGCAAAAACAAAGCCAGUCAAAAGCAUUGCCAAAAGUCAGGCCUGCUACCCUGCGUAUUUUUGUCAAAGAAACAAUCUCAACAUGCACAAAACUUCCAAACAACAUAG